CAGCCGCCGCGGUAAUACGUAGGGUGCAAGCGUUAAUCGGAAUUACUGGGCGUAAAGCGUGCGUAGGCGGCUUUUUAAGUCGGAUGUGAAAUCCCUGAGCUUAACUUAGGAAUUGCAUUCGAUACUGGGAAGCUAGAGUAUGGGAGAGGAUGGUAGAAUUCCAGGUGUAGCGGUGAAAUGCGUAGAGAUCUGGAGGAAUACCGAUGGCGAAGGCAGCCAUCUGGCCUAAUACUGACGCUGAGGUACGAAAGCAUGGGGAGCAAACAGGAUUAGAGACCCCCGUAGUCCCUGUCUCUUAUAC
rnacentral:rRNA from 1 species